rfam:Astyanax mexicanus Tnplaced_Scaffold_44, whole genome shotgun sequence.
UAGAAAUAAGCUUGUCAGUCACUUUGGAUAAAAGUGUCAGCUAAAUGCCAUACA